CCAAUAGCGUAUAUUAAAGUUGUUGCAGUUAAAAAGCUCGUAGUUGAAUUUCGGGAUCAAUGGGUUGGUCAUGCCCUCGGUAUGUACUGAUUUCAUUGGUUCUCACCUUCUAAGGAACCAUGAUGUCAUUCGUUUGAUGUUGUGGGGAAUUAGGACUGUUACCUUGAAAAAAUUAGAGUGUUUAAAGCAGGCUAACGCUUGAAUACAUUAGCAUGGAAUAAUGAAAUAGGACAUCCGAUUCUAUUUUGUUGGUUUCUAGGAUCGAUGUAAUGAUUAAUAGGGAUAGUUGGGGGCAUUAGUAUUCAAUUGUCAGAGGUGAAAUUAUUGGAUUUAUUGAAGACUAACUACUGAGAAAGCAUUUGCCAAGGAUGUUUUCAUUAAUCAAGAACGAAAGUUAGGGGAUCGAAGACGAUCAGAUACCGUCGUAGUCUUAACCAUAAACUAUGCCGACUAGGGAUCGGAUGAUGCUUAUUUUUUAAUGACUCAUUCGGCACCUUACG
rnacentral:rRNA from 1 species